rnacentral:sRNA from 1 species
UUAGUCUUUAUGUAAAUAAUUCAAUUGAAAAAAUAGAUAAUAGCCUAGACUAAACCUAAUAUAGGUUAUACAUACGUUUACACACAGCCAAGAAUAAUUGAGUAAUUUCGUUUAUAAAGGAAUGCGUAUAAGUUAUUUUAGUAGGCUAUACCUUAGAACUAACAUUGAACAAAUGUACUAUGUUCUGAUAUAAUCGUACCUAUUGUAAAUAUUCAAAGAAAAAUCAAGAACAAUCAAAUCACCUAAUCGACAUAUAAUACUCAAUGGCGUCUACGGCGGAACUUACGAGAAUAAAAUGAACGACAGCGCCAAUAUAAGGAGACAAUUGCUCGCCAACAACCCUCAAAAAUGAAUAGAGAUUUUUUGAACAAUUUAACAUAUUUAAGAGAAGAGCGAGCUUCUUAUGAAAGUGCAUUUGGUAUUUAAAAAAAAUUUAACUAAUUGAAUGAGAUGAUGUU